AGUUCAAGUCUUUUUACUUAGAACUUCAAUUUUUCCAUUCGAUCCCGGUAUAUUGAUUUGUAUCUUCCUUUUUGAUGCUACUGAUGUGGUUUCUUUUUGAUCCAGGUACUAAGCUAAGUUUUGAGGUCAAAACUUCAAUAAGAGGGAGGGAAUGAUGCGUCCUCGGACAUCGAGUCACCAAGGCCGCCGUCCGUCCGUCCGAGAGCACCAUCCGGCCGGCCG
rnacentral:lncRNA from 1 species